GGAGGCGUGGCUGAGUGGUUGAAGGCAACAGUCUUGAAAACUGUCGUAUGGGAAACUGUACCGUGAGUUCGAAUCUCACCGCCUCCG
rnacentral:tRNA from 2 species